GAUGAGGGGAGGAGGUGAUGAGGGGAGGAGGUGAUGAGGGGAGGAGGUGAUGAGGGGAAGGAGGUGACAGAGAAGGAGGUGACAGAGAAGGAGGUGAUGAGGGGAAGGAGGUGAUGGUGGGGAAGGAGGUGAUGGAGGAGGUGAUGGAGGGGAAGGAAGUGAUGGAGGGGAAGGAGGUGAUGGGGUCAGCACAGUCAUGGCUGGGAGCCUGGAGAUCCAGGCAAGUGGUCUCAGGGCCAGGUCCCGAGAGUGCAGUCAGUCAGAAGCCCACCUGUGAGUGGUGCAGGCUUGCUCAAGGUGCUGUAGUGAGUGGCAGGGAAGGGCCCAGGCAGUAUUGCACUGAAGGCUGCCGAUGAGGCCGCAGUGAGCUCCUCCCGAAGCAGGCGUCCCUUGGGGUGAUCAGCAGGCAGUUCCCCCAAGCGCCUCUCCAGUGACUCCCGCAGCAAGCCCAGCUUCUGGUUGGACUCAGUCAAUUUCUCCUGAGCCUGAGGUAGGAAGGCAGAGAGCUGAGAACAGGCAUAGGCCCUUCCCCAAGAACCCACCCACUUCUAGCAACUUCUUCCUCAAGGUUAAACCUCAAACCUACUUAGACCCAUCAGGUGGAACCUUGAAAACUAGGCUUUGCCCCUCGCUGGUGCCAGGACCCCCUGAGGUACCACCCACAUUAAAGCUUCUUGUUGUGAGGACCUCUCGCAGGCCUCACCUCCCCCUGAAGCUCUAGCAUAGACAGGACUAAUGCUGUCCUCCUCUCUACUGAGGCUCACACCCAGUGGCAGUCCACCUGAGUUAUUGUGCCACCCUCACCAGGACCUCUCUCUUUUACAUCCCUUGAAUGCCACGCCUCCAGCAGAAGCCCUCAAUGUCACCUCGCUGACUGCUUUGCGGUCUGGGGCCUUUGCAGCACUGAGCAGACGCAGGACAUUCUUGGCGCCUUCUGCCACUGCAUGCUCUACUCGAAAAUGGUGUCGUAGCUCCUCAAUGCGUAGCUCUACGGCUCCCAGGUCUGGAUCUCCUACGGACAUGGGCCCAGGACAGUGAGACAACCUUCAGACUAGCCUGAUCCCAGACACAGCUCGCCUACACAGCCACCAAAGCACAUCGUGAUUCUUGCCCUGGAAGAGACUGUCACCUUCCACUCAAAUUCAGUCACUCUUACUCAAACACCAUAAUGUCUAGGGACAUGGUUACCCAAUUACCUUCAUGAGAUGACACACAGGCACACUGACAACCUAGGCUUAGGGACAUAUAUUGUAGCAGUCCCUUGUCAUUCCCAGAGACUGGCAUAGGACAAAAGGAACACUAAAAUCUACAAGGGCAGAGAGCAUCUACACCCAGCAGCCCUCACCCACACAUUACAUUUUUUACCAAAGGACUAUCAAAGACGAAACUCAGACUCUUAUGUGACACUGGUCCUCCGUGUCCUACUGAACUCCCACCAAUAGGGACACAGUAAGACACUGAGUGUGUAUAACCUGGGCCGGUUUACAUGUGGGACUCGUCCCCAGUGAGGUGGCACUGGAGUCAGGGCCUCUGGGUCGGAUGAGGGCAUGAGGGAGCAUCGCCCUUAGAGGAGUAACAGAGCUAGCUGUGUGGUGCACUAGUAAAUCCUGACUGCAGUGCAGGAGGGCCUGACUCUAUCCUCAGCACCUGAAGCAGCAUCAACAAAUAACACAAGAAACCCAAAAGGCGGGGCUGGGGAUUUAGCUCAGUGGUAGAGCGCUUACCUAGGAAGCGCAAGGCCCUGGGUUCGGUCCCCAGCUCCGAAAAAAAAAAAAAAAAAAAAAAAAAGAACCAAAAAAAAAAAAAAAAAAGAAACCCAAAAGGCAAACAAGGAGCUGAGUGGAGUGGAGACCCGUGAUCCCAGCACCUGGGACACAGAAGCUGGAGUAGAGCGUGAGUUCCGGGCCAGCCUGAGGUACCUGAGACCCUACCCCCCACACACACCCCAAAAAGCAAAGGGGCAGGGAAGAUAAAGGAACCUGCCAUCAAGACGACUCCCAGAACCCGCAUGGUAGAGAGAGAACUGACUCCCAAAGGUGACUCACUUUCUUGUGCCAACACACACACACACACACACACACACACACACACACCACACACACACAAAAUGAAACAAGAAAAAAAAAUGUUGGUCAUAGUAGCAUAUGCCUAUGAUCAACCACAGUAUCUGGGAGACUGAGGCAGGAGAAUUACCACAAGUCCAGGGCCAGUGAGUGAGCAGCAGGACAGAUGUUCAGCUCUUGGCAUCUGUGAUGGUUGUUUCUGUUCUAUUCUAUUUUGUCUCACCAUGUAGCCCUAGCUGGCCAGGAACUCCCAAAGAUGUGCCUGUUCUGCCUUCUGCAUGCUGUGAUUAAAGGGUAUGGAAUGAUAGGUCUGUGUCACUACACCUGGCUCACCAAGGCUCAGUCACCACUUCUCAGCUCUGCGCAUGUGGUAAAAAGCAAACGUGAAAAAAAUGGUUAUACUUGCGUGCCAAUAAAACUUUCUUUACAGAGGCACGUGGGUCUGGUAGUGCAAGCCUGAGAUUCCACACACUCACAGGUGAGGGCAGGAGGACUGAGAGUUCAAGUCUAGCUUGGGCCACAGAGUGAAAUCUUUCCUCAAAAGAAAAAAAGCAAAAGGAAAAAAAAAAAGAUAGAGAGGGGAAUGGAGGUGAUCUCUGUAGCCUGGGCUACAUAGAUCAAGGCUAGCCAGGGCUACAUAAUGAUGUCCUGUCUCCAAACACAAAAACAGGCUGGAUAUGGUAACACACACAUUUAAUUCCAGCACUCAGGAGGCAGAGGCAGGAAGAGUUCUGUGUGAGUUAGAGGCCAGCCAGCCUGGUUGACAUAGUAAGUUCCAGAACAGGCAGGGCUAUAAUAGAAAGAUUCUGUCUCUAAACUAAACUAAAAGCAACCAGCGGGUGGAGCUAGAGAGAUGGCUUGAUUGUUUGAAAAAGCUUUCUGCUCUUCCAGAGGACUCAAAUCUGUUUACCCAGACCCACAAUGGAUGACUCACAACCACCUAUGACUCUAGUCCCUGAGAUCUGUUGCCUUCUUCUGGCCUCUGAGGCACUUGUGUGCACGCGCGCGCACGCACACACACACACACACACACACACACAAAUAUUUUUAAAACAACCUUAAAAACAAGAAUAGGGCAUAUUAAGUACUACAGUGCCUACAUAGAUUUUUAUCAUUGAACAGUUGGGGACAUGGUUCAAUAAAAACACAGGCCUAGUUUAUAGGAGCCCCUGUAUUCCAUCCUAAACACAACAAAAGGAAGGAAGGAAGGAAGGAAGGAAGGAAGGAAGGAAGGAAGGAAGGAAGGAACUAUUCUGUCCCAAACCUUGAAGGAAACAGAAACAGACAGGAAUAGGCUCCAUUCACCAUGAGGUUAAUUCCUGCCUCCUUGCCCUCCACAACAGGACAUUAUGGGUUGAAGGGUGACCCCUGGAAGGCAAAAUGCAGGCAGACAAUGUCCAGGGAAGGUCUUACCGUGGGCCUCAUCAGGAGCUGCCUGACUCUCCAGCUGGCCAGCCUGGAGUGCUUGUAGCGCCCGGCGAAGCUGCAUGCGGAUGAUGUCAAUCUUGGUCUUACUAUCCUGCAGCAUCUGUUGGGCCGUCAACAGCAGCUUCCGGUCCUGGAGACAGACAUGCAAGGUGACAGGCAGAGAGGGAACUCAAGUCUGAGCACUGACCCUGCUGUCCACAUCCUAAAAGGUAAGAGCAUUCGCACGUGCAUACAAGGACACAUUCCCAUUGUCCUGGGCCAGUGCAGUGAUAGGAAGUCCAUGGGCUUCAGUUCUAGCUCUGCUUGCUACCUGACAACUGAGUGUAACUGGUCUUUGCUACUUUGUGGGUUCUUCUUUUUCCCACCCUUUAUCCCCCUCGGUCCCCCCCCCCCAUCACUAGAUAGGAGAGGAAGAGGGAUAGAGGGGAUGGAGGGGGAGAAAGAUCCUUGGGUCUAAUUUCUGUAUCUUUCUUCUUUGAGCAUGACUACUAACAAACUGUAACCAACCUCCCUGAGUGACCGACAGCCACCCACCCUGCCAACUGGGGCUCUACAAUUGUACACCCUUUGAAAAGUCCCCAGAGUUCCAAACGUCACACAAUUGCAAUAACUACUGCAGCUGGCAAAAGCUCGCCUCUGCUAGAGCACGAGGCAAAUCACAGUCAGCUGCUGUGGGCAGUCUGAAACAGCCGCACAUCCCACACCUGGGAUUAAAAUGAAAAUAUAUUCUUAUUCUGACUUUGUAAGGAAGCAAAAAUUCCAAAAUUGUCACUACAGUUUAGCUUUGUGACCUCAGGCUGGCUUUCUUCUCUGGGCCUCAGCACCCUCAUUUGCAAAGUCUGGACCUCCACUGGACUGAGGACUCAUGAUCUAGUUUGGACCAGCUGGAGCUACAUCCUCCUCACCUGUCUGAACAUCUCUGUGCAAGUGUCUACAGAAUCACAGACAAAUGGCUGCAGUGACAUGAGAUGCCUAGAGCAGACCGACCCAGAGGCAGGAGUGGACUAGUAGGUGCAGUCGGGACACAGCUUCCACACAGUGAUUGGUGAAAUGUUCGGGACUGUCUUACCUUGGUGCUGCCAUUGCUGUAGGUCUGGAUCAUGUUUUCUGCCCCCUGUUUGACCUUGAGCUCAAUGGCCAGCUGCUUCUCCAGGCCAGCCACUCGGCUCAGGUUGGUGGAUGAGCAGACAGGGCUGCCCUCUGCAAGGGAUUGGGGAGCAUCUGAGGAAACAAGAAGAGAAAAGGCUCAUACAGUGGUCACUCCAGGAGACCCAGGAGAUUUUGUCCCAGCCAAUAGGAAGCCUUCGUCCAGAAAAGGAGCCUGGGGGCAAGUACACAGGCAGGAGACACAUGGCUCUCAGUGACAAAAUGGGCUUUGCACGAAGGAGAGUGAGUUAGUGACCAGGUAUGCAGGUCUUCAGGGUUAGCUGGAAUAAAUGCCCCCAUCUACCUCAGGGUGUAUAGGCCCACGGUGUGAGUGUGAUUAUGUCUGUAGGCCACAGGUGGGAGUACCCUAGAUGUGGGUGUAUGGCACUUACAUGGCUUCUUGUUGGUAUAGCUCAGUUCUGAUCUCUAGGGGCUUCUGGGAUUCUGUUUUGAGACUUGGCUGUUGUCAGAGGUGAGGUCUGUACCUCAGGAGAGAUGCAGUGGUGGGGAACUCACUGCAGAAGGGAGCUCAGACUCUUGACUGAACUCCACCUUGGACCCCAAUAGGGGACACAGCAAAACGCAGAGGGGCUGAGCCUGUUGGCUGUAUGUGAAGUCAGCUGUGGAUGGGACAAUGGUGGGACACCUCUGAGGGUGGUAUGACCCAAUGGGAGAGCUCUAAUGUCAUUGUGGGUUAGUGUGUCUCUAGGUAUAAGUGACAGGAUGCAAACCUUGGAUGCUGUUGGGACUGUGCUACUCUCUCUCGAAACAUGGGAUCAUGUGUGCUGUGUUGCCGGGUGGCAUAUGUGUGACAGACUCUGGGUAUCUUCUCCUGCUCCUGUGACCAUGAACAUCUUAGCUACAAGAUGAAGGCCCUGUGGCCUUGCUUUGCUACUGCAUAAAACUACUGAACUGUGGCAAUGAUAAAUCGUGCUGUGUUUUCUUUUUGUGGAUGUAUACACAUGUGUGCAUGCAUGUGUGCACAUGGAAGCUAAAAGAACAGCAGGUGAGUUCCUCAGCUGUUCUCUACCCUCCUUCCCUCUUUCCUUCCUUCCUUUUCUUCUUUCCUUCCUUUCUUCUUCCUCCCUCCUUCCUUCUUUCCUUCUCUCUUUCAUUCUUUCCUCCAUCCCUUCUUUCCUUCCUCCCUCCUUCCUUUCUUCUUUCCUUCCUUUUUGGAUAAGGUCUCUUGCUGAGCUUGGAGCUCUCUGAUUGACUUGUGUAACUGAGCAGUGAGCCCAGAGAUCGCCGUGUCUCUACCUCCCAAAUGCAAGGAUUACCAACACGUGUACAAGACUUUUUACUUGGGUGCUUGGAAUCCAAAUUUGAGCCUUAAUACUUAAUACUAAAGUAUCUACUAGCAGAACUCCUCAACCUGUGGGGUUUUACUUUAACCACAAUCAAAAACAAAAUUUUGUGUUUUUAAAAACAGGGUUUCUCUGUGUAGUCCUGGCUGUCCUAGAAUUCACUCCAUAGUGGCUGGCCUUGAACUCAGAAACCUGCCUGCCUCUGCCUCUGGAGUGCCCGGAUUAAAGGCAUGUGCCACCACCAUCAAAUUAAAAACCAGGUCCAGGUCUGUAAUCUCUGCCACUCAGGAACAAAAGCCCUUCCCUAGCAGCCUAGAAAAAUUUUGUCUCAAAAAAACAAUAAAAAGAAAAAAAAACCGAGAAGAGCAUAAAUAUAUAAAACACAAAAAAUAUAAAACAAAGCAAAAACAACAGAAAAAUAGUCCACAACUUCUGUUGUACUAGAAUGAUUUAGGGAGCCAUGAGGGUGACGGAUGUGCAAUAUUUGGGUGUUUGUUAGUGUGACUGUGAGCUUCGGGGUUCUCACGUGGCAGCAUGUCACUCAAAUGUCCUGGGAAUAGCUGUAAUGGUGUCCUUAGGUAUCUGGUAUUAUCUGGAUGCUGGUGUGUGUAUCUAGGUACUCCUAAUGCCAAGGACAGUUUUGAGUGGGGUCUGGGAACAGGUGUGACUAUGUUUAUCCGGGUGAUAGUGGCCCUGUGAGUCUGGCCUCUCCCAUGGCGUCUAUGGAUUCAGGACAGUGUCCUGGUGGAAUGCACUCUCAGGCUUUCUGCUCACCACUCCCCGCUGUAGGGUCGGGCAGCACCACAUGUGCAUGCAGCUCCUGCAGCUGCUGGUGCAGCAAGUCAAGCCGUCUAGCGGAGCCCCUCAGCAGCAGUUCCACAGGGGCCAAGCUGCGGCCCAGGUCAGUGGUGGCCCGCCUCAGGUUCUCAGCGCCCUCCUUCAGCUUCAGCUCUUUUCGGAUUUCCCGCUUCAGCCGCUCUCGCUCUAACUCCAGCUGCUGCUGCACCCCAGGGGCUGCCAGGUCUGCCCCAGCCAGACCCAGCUGCUCCAGCAGUGACCAGCUGCGAGGUUCACUCUAGGGGAAGGGACCAGACACAGAAUGUCAAAAGCUAAAGGGCAGUUGGCCUCACCAGGACACAGUUCACCUGACCAGCCACCACCCUACCCUACUCCACCCUAGAAUCCCAAGGACAGAGAGACCUGACCCUCAUAAAUGGGAUUUCUUGGCCAGAGAGAUGGUUCGGGGGUAAAGGCUCUUGCUGCCAAGCCUGCCUGAGUUCACCCCUAGAAAUCUACAUAGUGGAAGGAGAUGAUCAAGUUCAAAAGAUUGUCCUCGGAGUUGGGGAUUUAGCUCAGUGGUAGAGCGCUUGCCUAGGAAGCGCAAGGCCCUGGGUUCGGUCCCCAGCUCCGAAAAAAAAGAACCAAAAAAAAAAAAAAAAAGACUGUCCUCUGACAAACCCCCACAACACACACACACACACACACACACACACACACACACACAAACACACACACACACACACACGUAGAUGCACGAAUAAACAAACAAAUCUGGGUCUGAAGAAAUGGCUUAGCAGCUAAAAACAUAUAGUAUUCUUGCAGAAGAACUGAAUUCAGUUUCCAUCUCUAAUUCCAGAUCCAGGGGGCCCUGAUGCCUCUGCAGGCACUAGUGUGCUUAUGUGCACAACCCCACAGUCACAGAUGCAUAAUAAGGAAAUAAUAUCAGUAAGUAAAUAGGAGGUCAAAGACUAGGCCAAGACUAAGGCCCUUCCUUCCCCAGGUGCUCACCGGGGUCCCCACAGGUAUGCCCCAUCUCCCUCAAUGUACUACUUAUGCAAUGGGGUUCUCUCAGAUGACCCCUUUUCUCUUCUGGUCUCCUGCAUUCCUAACCAGGAAGUCCCAAGGGCAGGCUACUGUUUCUUUUGCUGUCCUCCAAACCCAGGAGGACCUGAGAGACAAAUCCUGGCUUCUCAUCUGCGUUCUCAAGCUAGACGGUCCCUGGGCUUUCCCGAGAGCCUCCUGUAUCUGGUGCUCCAAAGAGCAGAGCUCAUCUCCUCCCACAUCUCCCAAACCUGAGCACUGACACAGCACCCAAGUUUCACCCUCCACCUGGAGAAGUCACCAGUUCCCCUCCUCCUUCCUGCUCUUAGUCGCAGUUUCUGCCUCAUGCAGUCCUCCUUCUGCCACCCUGUGGAGACCCCAACCCCUACCUCCAGCUCCAAAUCCAAAGGGGGAUCAGCUGCCAUCUGGGUCCUAGGUCUGGCCUGAGGGCCACGCCCUCUUCCUGAACCUCAGCCCUGACAGGGCCUCUGGACUGCCACUUCCUCUUUCCUUCCAGUUCCCAGCAUCCUCUGCGCCAGGCCAGCUCUAGGGCAAGUUUUUUGUUGUUGUUAGGGGUAGGAGUUAUUUUGUUUUGUUUUUGAGACAGGUCUCUCUAUGUAGUUCUGGUUGACCUGUAAUUCACUAUGGAGAACAGGGUGACUUCGAACUCAGAUAUCUACCUGCUUCUAUAUCCCAGGUAGGUGUGGGCCAUGUAAGAGGUUCUUCCCCCAUCACCCCCUAAAUGGCCAUGCUUGUUUCUCUGGAGGUGAGCCAGGGAGAAAGUUUUUAGUGCCUGACACACUGGCAGACACAUGCACAGGAUAUUACAUAGCAGGCAGGAUCUUAUGUGUGGGGCCAUGGGCUCAACGGUGCAGACACAGUUCCAGCUUUGCAGCUGUGAGAUCUGCACCCCUCAGUUGAGGAGGCCUGUGUGGGCCUGGCUUGUGGGACUGGCCGGUGGGCCUGUCUAAGGGAUAUUUUCUUGACUGCUAAGUGAUGUAGGAGGGCUCAGCUCUCUGUGGGCAGUGCCAUCCUGGGCAGGUGGGCCUGGGGUGUACAAAAGGAGCUGAGCCAGCCAGAGGGAGGGAACAGUGAGCAGUGCUCCUCUGCGGUUUUGCCUUACGCUUCUGUCUUCAGCCCCAGCCCUGACUUCACUCCGUGAUGAACUAUAAUUUAUAAAACCAAAUAAACCCUUUCUUCCCCAAGUUGCUUUUGGUCAGUCUUUUAUCACAGCGACGGAAGGCAGACUAGACCAGUCCCCACCUGCAGGAGUGUGUGGGUAGAACACAGCUUCCCAAAGGUGUGUGCAUCUAGCUGUGCAGGUCUGUGCCUGGCUCAGGGUGUACACGGGAUACUAAUUUGCACACAGACACCUGCAGGUGUAUGUCUGGGACACGGGCUCGGGAGUGCACAGAGUAGUCUCGCUUAUAUUGCACUCCCACAGGGGUCAGCAUGGAAGUGGGACACAGCAUCAUAAAUCUGCACACUUCCCACACCUGCCUGCACAGACCCUAAUGAACAAACAGCUAUUGGUGCUAGUUUAAGUCCCUCUGGAAGCUACUCACACACCCUCAUGCGCACGUACGUACGUGCGUGCGUGCGUGCGUGUGUGUGUGCGUGUGUGUGUGCGUGUGUGUGUGCGUGUGUGCGUGUGUGUGUGUGUGCAUGCGUGUGUGUGUGUGUGUGUGUGAGGUUCAGGACUUGUACAUGCUCACACUUCUUUUCAGAUCCACUACUCAUGCACGAACAGCAGCCUCGAGGUCUCUCAGGCCCUCAACCCUGCUACUGCCUAUUCAUGUCACUAUUGAGAGACCCUCCCACUUGUCCCUUGUCCCCAACUUCCUCUUAAGGAUCAGAACAGUGAGUUCUGUAGGGUGUGUGUGUUGGGGGUGGUACUGUGAGCAUGCUUCCGGUACACAGGCAGCAUCAACUUCCUGCUUCCUCCUACCCAGAUGUCCACCCUGGCUGCUCACAGCUUGGAGGCCUAGGGAGCCCACCUGGCUUAGUAGCAGCUCCCUGAAGCUAACACCAGGAAGAAACAACCCCGAGGGGCCCCAAACAGCAGCCCACAACUGUUUGCCGAGUAUAUACUAAAUCUCAGCUGUCAGAGAUAGCUGUUACAAGGCUGCUCAUAUCAGGAUCAAGAUACAUGUGAAAACAUUCUAUUUCCUACCGGUUUUUGCUGUGAUCCUAAAACUGCUCUAAAAAAUAAUCUAUCAUAUUUUAAAACAUUAGUAGUGGUGCUGGACGGAUGGUUCAGCAGUUAAAGGCUCGCACUGUUCUUCCAGAGGACCUGAGUUCAGACCCAAGUACCCAUAACAGAUGCUCACAAAUGCCUGUAACCUGGGUGGAUCUCAUGUCUCUGGCUUCUGUGGGCAAAUGUACAUACCCCCCAACAUAUAUAAUUAAAAAUAACAAAUAAAUAAAAGUAAUAGUAGUGGUGGUGAUAACAGCGGCUACGGGCAGAAGGUAAAACUUGGUAGCCUAGACAAGCUCUACCUCAAAACUAAAAAGACAGCAGCUACCACAGCCUCAUUCCAGGUCUCAGCUAACGUCAUUCCAUGUUUCGGGCGCUAUUUGUUUUGUUUUGCUUCAUAUGGUUUUGUGACUGGGUCUCAUAGAACACAAGAUGGCUUUGAAUCUAACACAUGGCUAAGGCUGGCCUUGAACUCCUGAUCUUCCCGCAUCCACCUUGCCAGUGCUAGGAUUGUAACAGCACCUUAGCAUUUGGCACAGCAAGAUGCAGAUGCUAGAGAUGGAUACAUGAGACAGAGAGAUAUGAUACCAUCUUCAAAACGAAGAAACUGAGGUCCAGCAAAGCUUGUCGCUGCCUUUAAUCCGAGCACUCAGGAGGCAGGGGUUAGAGAUCUCUUAGCAUUCCAGAGCAGCCAGAGCUACACAGCGAGUCCCUGUCUCAAUUAAAAAAAAAUUAGAGGGCUGGAGAGAUGGCUCAGCGGUUAAGAGCACUGACUGCUCUUUCAGAGGUCCUGAGUUCAAUUCCCAGCAACCACAUGGUGGCUCACAACCAUCUGUAUUGGGAUCCAAAGCUCUCCUCUGGUGUGUCUGAAGAUAGCUACAGUGUACUUAUAUACAAGAAAUUAAAAAAAAAAUUAGUAGACUGAACAUGGUCAAGCUAUCUGUGACAGAGGAGAGAAUAGCAGGGUAUAGAAUAGAGAAAAAAAAUUAGAGAAGGGGGCAUGACACAGGUCCACAGGCAGCAAGAGAGAAGUCCAAGAUUGACACUAGCCGGGAAGAAGCCCACGUCCACCACACCUCGCAGCAGUGAGCCACCAUCACAGUAAGUGAUGUUCUCCUAGGCUCGUAAGCCCUUCUGGAGGGAAGAUGAGGGUGCAGGCCAAGAACACAGAUCCUGUGACCCUGUCAUCUCCUCACUGUGUACCUGAGCAGUAGUCACCACAGGGAAAAACUGAGGCUCAAAGAGGCCAUAGCUGUGCUCUCAGUGAAGCUGGGGUUGCCUUCUCCUCCCCUCUAGAAACACAUGUCAAUGUCUGAGGUCAUUCUUGUUGUCAUUACAACCAAAGUAUAGAGGGGGCACCUGUCAAAUGUCACCAUCCUGAGGGGCACAGGAUAGCCCCCCACCACCAAAUGAUCCAGGCACAAAGGCCAUUGCUGGGGCCUUGGAGAGGGACAUGGGCUCCCAGCUUAGACUGCCAAGCUCCAUGUUCAAAGUAAAGAUGUCACAGAAGCACAGGACUGGCUGCAGCCCCACCUCUCUCCCCAUAACCAUCAUCUCCACCCUCACCCCCACCCUAAGGGUUUCUCUGAGUUGCCCUGGAUGUCCUGGAACUCUAUAGACCAGGCUGACCUCAAACUCAGAGACCUGCCUGCCUCUGCCUCCCACACGAAGGUGUGUGCCACCACCACCGCCAGACCCUCGUCACUAUUCUUAACCCAUUGCCUCCUCCGAAACAGAUACAAGACUCAGUAAGGCGAAGGCAGUUGACCCAAGAACUCAUCAGGGAAGGCAGCAUUGGUAUUUAAACCCGGCCUCACUGAGCAACACUCUGACAUAACCAGGCCCCACCCACUGUCACCCACCAGUGCCCCAAACCCAGCAGGCAAAGCAGGUACACAGCCAAGAGCAGGGCCAGCUCAAGCAUUCGAGCAGAGGAAAGGUGAAGGCCCCACCUCCAGCAGAGAAGGCCUGAGAAUAUGAAAAGCAUGCAGGGAGGGAGGCAGGGCCUCCUUGUCCUCCUCCCCUGGGUGAGUCACUUCUGCCCAGGGACAAGGAGUCACUUGAGGGCAGCAGGGCAAACGCCUGACCUGGUCUUGAGGAAUUAAGAGUGUCAGCUUCUCCACCUGCCAUUACAGAUCUGGAGACACCAGACCAAGAACUGUCACCAUGGGGGAAACCCUCUUGGCAAAGUGGCUAGGAACCCAAAACCCCAUUUCCUGAGAUUUCAAUGCCUGGGGCGUUUCCAGAAUCUAGACAGGACAUCCGUUUGCCAGACACAGAACACACAGACAUGGAGCUGGUGGAACAGGGCAGCAAGUCCAAGCGGGAAUGAACAUAUGGGAGAAGACCAGAACAGGAACAAGAUGUAGGUCCUGCCUCAUUCUGGGAAUCGCAGCCUCCAUAUGUGUCCUAUGUGGGACACACCAAGCACAUGCAUGUACUGGGAGAGCCCUACACAGCCCUCAGUGGGUCUGAAGGGGAGCUGGCACCGGUGCAUCAGCCUGGAGGUCUGACCUUGUGAGAUCGGCAGCACCAGAUACGCCCAGCUCCUCGGCAAGGCCGGCAGGCCAUCAGCAGGACUGGGGAAGAGGGGUACAGGAGGGUACAGGGGAGACAUGGGGGCAGGUGUAGAAGGAGAUGAGAACUGGUUACACAGGACAAUGGACUGCAUGGUGAAGAACUAAUGGAGCCACGAAGAUACAAAGACCUCAGAUUUGGGCCACUGAAUUAGAGGGUGAGAAGUCAGUCACCCCGACCUUGCUUCCUCUUGGGAAGGUGCCCAUCUGGGUGGCGUCAAGACCAUCGUAAAGACGUCUGCAGGCGGAGGUGGCCCGGGCUUUGUUGUGCGGGGGAGGGGAUCGGGCCGGGCACUCCUCCGGUCCGCGGCAGGGUGCCAGGCACCUGCUCCAGGUGAAGCGGCACCUGCCAGAAACCGAACGCUGAGGACCCAGAGUAGGGCGUGGGGACGAGAGGCACCGGGACCCGCAGCUGGCCUCGGACACCGAAGUGGGGACCCCGCUGCACCCGCUGACUCUCGGGGAGGGCCGGAAGAGGGGAUGCAGUGGUAGAAUCCCGAACAGCACCCCUUCCUCCAACCAGGUCGGCGCCUCCACCUGCUACAAGGGCCUGCGCGGGCUCCGGAUGGGGACCUCGUCUCGGAUUCUACCCGUGCCUGGGGUCCUCCGCGCCGUCCGGCCGCUCCGCGGGUAGCCUACCUGCACGGCGUCGCCGGCCAUGUCCGCCAGGGGUCCCAGCGCCGAGGGAGGGCUUGCGAGCGCGUCGGCGUGUGGGGCGGGAAGCGCGGAGCCCAGACCUUCCCUGGCGCGCUGCGCGAUCCGGCCUGCUGCGCUCGGCCCGGCCUGGCCAGGCCUCCGCCGAGCUGCGCCCUCGGGCCCCAGCGGCUGCAGGAUGGGUCACGUGAGCGCCGAGGUCCGCGCCUGGGGAGGAGGCGGGGCGGGGGCGGGGGCGGGGCUCCCGGCGGCCCCCGGGGCUUGCAGCGGGGAGUGGGAUCUCUGUUCGCUGUGCUGCGUGGCAAGCGCUCCUCAUAGCGUAGGGGGACUCUGAACAGGCCUGAGCGGCCGCGAGUCUCACGAACCUUGUCCCCCACCUCGGACCCCUCUGAAAGCAAAAGUCACGAUCCACCUCCCUACACACACCGCCUAGCUGCAUAGAGGCAUCCAUCCUCCCAUUUACCCGUAGGCAAGCACAGGGAGAGCCUGACUUCAACUCAAAUGCCUGUGUCCUGGGCCUUGGGGGACCACCGUACCUCUUAGGACAAGGAUGGCUGUAAAACUUAAUGAGGAAGAGUAGGGCAA